rnacentral:lncRNA from 1 species
AUGCUCAAAAUUCUCCAAGCCAGGCUUCAGCAAUAUGUGAACUGUGAACUUCCAGAUGUUCAAGCUGGUUUUAGAAAAGGCAGAGGAACCAGAGAUCAUAUUGCCAACAUCGGCUGGAUCAUGAAAAAAGCAAGAGAGUUCCAGAAAAACAUCUAUUUCUGCUUUAUUGACUAUGCCAAAGCCUUUGACUGUGUGGAUCACAAUCAACUGUGGAAAAUUCUGAGAGAGAUGGGAAUACCAGACCACCUGACCUGCCUCUUGAGAAAUCUGUAUGCAGGUCAGGAAGCAGCAGUCAGAACUGGACAUGGAACAACAGACUGGUUCCAAAUAGGAAAAGGAGUACAUCAAGGCUGUAUAUUGUCACUCUGCUUAUUUAACUUAUAUGCCGAGUAUCUCAUGAGAAACGCUGGACUGGAAGAAACACAAGCUGGAAUCAAGAUUGCCAAGAGAAAUAUCAAUAACCUCAGAUAUGCAGAUGACACCACCCUUAUGGCAGAAAGUGAAGAGGAACUAAAAAGCCUCUUGAUGAAAGUGAAAGUGGAGAGUGAAAAAGUUGGCUUAAAGCUCAACAUUCAGAACACAAAGAUCAUGGCAUCCAGUCCCAUCACUUCAUGGGAAAAAGAUGGGGAAACAGUGUCAGACUUUAUUUUGGGGGGCUCCAAAAUCACUGCAGAUGGUGACUGCAGCCAUGAAAUUAAAAGACACUUACUCCUUGGAAGAAAAGUUAUGACCAACCUAGAUAGCAUAUUCAAAAGCAGAGAUAUUACUUUGCCAACAAAGGUCCAUCUAGUCAAGGCUAUGGUUUUUCCAGUGGUCAUGUAUGGAUGUGAGAGUUGGACUGUGAAGAAGGCUGAGCUCCGAAGAAUUGAUGCUUUUGAACUGUGGUGUUGGAGAAGACUCUUGAGAAUCCCUUGGACUGCACGGAGAUCCAACCAGUCCAUUCUGAAGGAGAUCAGCCCUGGGAUUUCUUUGGAAGGAAUGAUGCUGAAGCUGAAACUCCAGUACUUUGGCCACCUCAUGCGAAGAGUUGACUCAUUGGAAAAGACUUUGAUGCUGGAAGGGAUUGGGGGCGGGAGGAGAAGGGGACAACAGAGGAUGAGAUGGCUGGAUGACAUCACUGACUCGAUGGACAUGAGUCUGAGUGAACUCCGGGAGCUGGUGAUGGACAGGGAGGCCUGGCGUGCUGCAAUUCAUGGGGUCGCAAAGAGUCGGACACGACUGAGCGCAUGA